rnacentral:rRNA from 1 species
CCCUUAGAUGUCCUAGGCCGCACGCGUGCUACACUGAUGAAUUCAACGAGUUGAAAUCACCUUGACCGACAGGUUUGGGUAAUCUUUUGAAAGUUCAUCGUGCUGGGGAUAGAUCUUUGAAAUUGUAGGUCUUCAACGAGGAAUUUCUAGUAAGCGUGGGUCAUCAGCCCACGUUGACUACGUCCCUGCCCUUUGUACACACCGCCCGUCGCUCCUACCGAUUGAAUGAUCCGGUGAGAACUUCGGAUAGGGAUCGUCAUCAUGCUUGGAUGGGGGCAACCUCGUUCAGUUGGAUCGCUAGAAGUCGUUCAAACCUUAUCAUUUAGAGGAAGGAGAAGUCGUAACA